rnacentral:rRNA from 1 species
UACGUAGGAGACGAGCGUUGUCCGGAGUUACUGGGCGUAAAGGGUGCGCAGGUGGCGGCGCGCGUGGGGGGUGAAAUCCCCGGGCUUAACCUGGGAACUGCGUUUGAAACUGGAAGGCUAGAGUGUGGCAGAGGGGGGUGGAAUUCCACGUGUAGCAGUGAAAUGCGUAGAUAUGUGGAGGAACACCGAUGGCGAAGGCAGCCCCCUGGGCUAACACUGACGCUCAUGCACGAAAGCGUGGGGAGCAAACAGG